CCGGGGAAGCCCUGUCAUUUCCUUUUAAAUCACAUUUUUUUCCUCAGUUAAUUCUGAUGUUAGAUGAAAAGAUGGAAAUAGAGAAGGUCCAGUCUUUAAAAAAUUAGGAAGUGAUAUUUCUUUUCUAAAAAGCAAGAAUGGAUCAGAAAUUAAAACUUAACAUAUUACUCUGAAGUCUAAAUAUAGGCUACAUCAGGAGCACGGCUGGUCAUGGGAUAGACUCCUCAAAUGAGGCGCCUGAGACCCUGGGGCCACGCCCCACACAGGUGAGGGCAGUCCAUCUGAGUAAGAGCAAUAAAGUAAUAUGGAGAGUGCUGACCGAGGUUGGGGGUCGUCCAUGCAGGUAGGGAGGGAUGCGCAGUAUAGACACAGGUAAGAUGCACUGGCUCAGGGUGGCAGGCAGGUGGGCUGAGCUAGUCAGGACUUGUGGUCCUGUCCACAACAAGGCAUAUGGACAAGACACACAUGCCCAGGGUCCCAGGAAAGGCAGCCAGAUCUCAGGACGUUUAGAAUUGCCACAACUGAGAACUGGCCACUCUUCUUUCUACUGUCUGUCCUUUUGAUUAUAUUCCUCAAAUCUAGGCAUAAAUUAAACAACUUCAGAAUUAAUCCAACAGAUCUACAAAACUGGCACCGAAGUUCCUCAUGGUCUGUGAUGACACUAGACUCCAAAUUCCCAAGAACCAGCUCAUCUCUCCCAGCAGCACACACCUCCAGCCCAAGCAGAAUGGUGUCCUUGAGUCACUUAUCCAAUGGGCCGUGGCUGAAGAGAGAACGGAACCCGUGGGACUGGCGUGGCUCUUUGGCCAGUGGGGCUCAGGACAGGCAAGUUCCCCAAACCUGAGAGACUCCUGCUGCUUCAGGAAAUUCGAUCCCAGAGGAACAAAGAGACAAAUAGCACAGAUUCUGGCCCAGGGGAACAAUACAGGUAGCCAGUGAAAAAACCAGGGCACAAGAGGGAGGCUUAAUUACAGGAAAAAGACAGCAGUAGUGCAGUGUGGGGCGUACAGUGAGGGGAGGACUGGGGACACGGUUGAACAAUCGCCUCUUGCAGAGACACAGCCCCAGAGCCCUGCGUGGGGUAGCCAAUCAAUAAAGAUUGGCUGGCUGUUUAAUUAACUCAGGAGCUUAUUUAGCUAAAUCAGGUCUGCCUGUGCCUUAAAGGAAAUGGCCCUCCCGCAUUAGGAUCAAUUGGGAGCCUGUUUAAAAUGCAGAUACCAGGCUCCAGAAGAGCCAGAAGGAAUCCUGAGCUCUAGGGUUGGGCCCAGGAAUCACCCUUUGGGCUGCACUGCUGUGGAUGUGGGCCAUCUUGAUCUACUUCAGAAACUGUUGCAUCCUGGAUCCUGUUUGCAGGGAACGUCCGGUUAAAAUGAAUUCUUCUCCAGUUGAACAAAAUAGAGGCACUGACAGUCUUCAUAUACAGGUUGCAAGAGCCCCUGUUAGCACAAAGCCAAAGAAGCUUCCAUUUUCUAUUAAGAAUGGAAUUGGGAAUUCUAUUUGGAGGACAUUUACUAUAAAAGCUCUACAUGACUCCCCGAGAGUGAGGCCAACUCAGCUGGAAUAAGCACCCACUGCAGAGGGCUUAGGGGCUUGUGGAAAAUUCCAGAAGCUGGAGCUCCAUCCUAGAACUGGGACUAAGGAAGUUCAUUCUCUUUGGUUAAGUGAGCCACCUCACGAAGGAUCCAGAUCCACAGAAUCAGCCUGAAAAAGGAAAAGCCAAGUUGGAAGACACCUGAGACCUAACUUCAGGUAUUAGCAAACCUGUCUUAUAGACAUGCCUUCGCUGUGGGCCAUUCAGAGAGGAAGCUGGGUAUUUAGAGGCGACAGGGAAACCGUGUAAGCUUAGAUCUGGGCAAGCAUCCACGAGGUAGGCUGCCUGUGAGGUCCUGGGCAAGGUCAACCAUAUCGGCUGUCAGAGGUUCCAGGACUGGAGGCUGGGGAAAAGA